rnacentral:rRNA from 1 species
GACGAACGCUGGCGGCGUGCUUAACACAUGCAAGUCGAACGGGUCUGCCCUGUUUUUUGCGGGGUGGGUCAGUGGCGAACGGGUGAGUAACACGUGAGUAACCUGCCCCUCACUUCUGGAUAACCGCUUGAAAGGGUGGCUAAUCCGGGGUGUUCUGGCUGUGCCGCAUGGUGUGGCUGGGAAAGAUUCACUUUUGUGUUGUUUUGGUGGGGGAUGGGCUCGCGGCCUAUCAGCUUGUUGGUGGGGUGAUGGCCUGCCAAGGCUUUGACGGGUAGCCGGCAUGGGCGGGUGGGCGGUCACACUGGGAGUGAGAUACGGCCCAGACUCCGGCGGGAGGCAGAAGUGGGGGGUAUUGCACAAUGGGCGGAAGCCUGAUGCAGCGACGUCGCGUGAGGGAUGGAGGCCUUCGGGUUGUGAACCUCUUUCGCCGGUGAAGAAGGUCCUGCUCUGUGUGGUGGGGUUGACGGUAGCCGGGUUAUGAAGCGCCGGCUAACUACGUG